CGGCGCUGCGUACCACCCUCUCGUAGGGCACGUUGGCCGUGAUGAGGCUGUGGCUGUUGAAGGAGAGGUGACGAACGGGGUGUCUGGAACACAGCGGGAGAGAGAAGUCCUGCGAGGGAGGAGGACGCUGUGUCUGCCUCGGUUCCCAAAGCUGGGUUGAGCAAGGCCACACUCUGCGCCCUUCUCUGUAAAGAAGUCUGAAUGCCCCUCGUGCAUCCCAGUUGACGGCCCCAACAACUGGGUGUGUUCACACAUGCAGGACACACUCAACCUGAGACAGUUCAGCAUGCCGUGGACAACAGCCCCAUUUCUGCCUCCUGGCCGGCUGGCCUUGGACAAGUCACUCAAGCUCUCCAAGCCAGGUUCCUUCUCUGCAGGGCACGGGGGUGACGGAGUGAAUUUAGUGGUGUCCCAUAAAGGUCCCCUAGUCCUAAGUCAGAGGACUACAAAUGACACAUGUACUCUGGGUUGUGAAAGCAUAUUCAGAAAAUCCUGGAAGGAAACGGCUUGAGAUCUAUGCAGUUGUAGAACUACGUAGAUCUACAAUCUGUGUAGUAUGUGGAACAAAGGCUUUUGUUUGCUCUAAAAACUCUUAUCCACUGCCUACAGCACUGGCCACGGCACUGAGCCAGGGACACAGGAAUCAUUCCGAGGGUAGGCAUCUGCUUGGACUGGACAUCUUCUUUAAUGCUAACUAGCUAAGAAGGUAAGAUACACUCCCACACAGAGCCAGUGUUUCUAGAGCAUGAGAGAUGUUACAAGCCACAAAGAUAGGACACAGACUUCAGCACCUGGGAGGAGGAACAUCACCAUGUGAUGAAACGGUCCACCAGGCCCCGGGAGGUGCUGGCCCAUCAGCCAGGCCCUUUCAGAAAGGCAGAGGGUAGCAAAGGAGGGGACGAGGGAGAGGCCCAUUCGGGCUGAGUCAGGGCUGCUCCUGGGAUGGCCAGGGCAGGGGCAGGCUUCCUGGCGAGAGCAGAAGAUCCUCUGGACAGCAAUGCAGGUUAGGAGGAGUCUGAGCUUGGCCCUGUCAGUCCAGGGUUUGGGGCACCAACCAGAGGAAAAUAUUGUUACAGGACUUCACUAGGGGCCCAGUGAGGCAGGACAGGAAAGUGACCAAGCGAGAGCUGGACCAGAACUCAGAAGAGAAUCAGGAUCAGCAGUGUGCACGGGCAGCGAGGACUUGAGCAAGUAUACAAAUUCUGCGCAGCAGACUGAAGAGCGAGGCAUCGGCCUUGUGCAGGUGAAAACAGUGCCCUCAUGAGGGACAAGCCAUUAACUGUGGCGGCCACUGUGUGCAUUUACACACGAGUUAGGAAGGCAGAUGCUGGGACGGGACGACGAUUCUGGAGAAGACCUCACUCACCCUGGCUUCACCUGAAUGACUCAUCCGAGGGAGUGCAGCUUUUCAGGGAGAGAAAAACGAGACCUGCUGGAGUGCAGGCCUAGGGAACUAAGUGGGGCUGGUGGCAGUCCCUGGGGCCCCGGACUGCAGUGGGAACCGUCCUAGAGGCCAGGCUGAGCCAGCUCUUCAAAAUAAAUAAAAGGGUUCCCUUAAAGGCAAAUAUUUCUAUGAUGCUAAUAUGUGAGAGUUUUAGUUGCCUGUUGGCACCACCUAGUGGCAACUCAGUGCAUCACCACAGAAAUCAGAAAAACAGCUGAUGUCCAGAGCCAGAGCUGGGCGGGCGGACAUGCCCCACGCCCCCGGGCUCAAGUCUGAGAACAGCUGCUGGCGGAAGCCCCCACUACCACUGCCCUCCAAGGAAGACACCAAUUCUUCUUUCCACCUGGCCGCCUCUUGUACUCACAAUGCAGACUGCCCUGCCUUCUCAUAGGUCUGGUUUAUCAGGACUUGCAGUUAGAGGGGAAAACCCUCCAUUUGUAGCUGCAGGCCUUGGCAUCUGUGGCCACUCUCCUCUGUCCUCACGGUCACUUGCCCCCAAAUGUUUCUUUACAGCAGUACUGAGGGACAGCUGGGAGAAGGCUUGUCGCCUUUCUUCCCAGCUGCCUCAAAAGCAGGCAUGCAGGGCUGGGGGAAUGUGGGGGAGGGGAUGGCCUCAGGUCAGCUCCAGUUGACCCUGCUCCAGGUGAGGCUGCCUCUGCUUUAAAGGUCAGGAGCAGGCUCGACCAUGUUGAAGCAGUGAGGCCCCAUUAAUGCAAACAUACCUACAUCCAGGAAGCCAGCGGCCUGUGCUUGGGAUGGUAUUUAUUUCUCUUGAAUGUGAGAGUUAAAAGUUGAAAUUACAAAUUCCUCCUUAGCUGAAGCCUGAAUACUUUCAGUCCUAAGUGUCCUUCCAAACAGUGUCUUAGAAAGUCCCAGAAACGGGCAGAAAGUGACCAUCAUGCGUGUGGAGACUGGCAUAGAGGAUGGUGGCUGCACCUCAGCUAGGCAUCACGUCAGGGCCUCCACCUGCACUGGGCAUGGAUUACAGCAGCUUUAAUGAAGCGGGAGAGGAACUUCCCUCCACUGACCAGCUCCAUUUCUGAGCCUCAGUUUCCUCCUCUGAAACAUGGACAUAAGAGCAGCAGCCAGCUCACAGGGUUAUGGUGAGGAUCACACAGCAACAUGGAAGCACUUAGCCCAGCGCCUGCCUGGCUCAGAGGCUGACUACUGUUAUCACUACUGUUGCUGUUAUUACUGAAAAUGCCUGAGGAACUACUUACCUCGAAUGCACCUCCCACAGCUUCUGGUUCAUCCGAUAAUCCCACACAGAGACCAGGCCUUCCUCGCCUCCGCUGACGAUUUUCCAGUCAUCCAUCUGGACUGCGGAGACCCCAAGUUGGUGGGCAGAGAGCGACAGGGUGAUUUUGUCAGUGCGGAGAUCGUGGAUCCUCACCCUGGAAGGCCCAAGACAAGCACAGAGGAGGCAAAUGGGAUUAAAGCCCAGGAUGCACACUCCUCCUCGGGUGUGCUGGUCUGUGCACAACGAUGCUACGAAAAUAGCAUAUAAAAUGCUUUCAGUUGCAAACAUCUGAAUACUGAUAUCAAACUUUUAUGUCCUUAUGAGUACACUAUCCCAGGAGGCCAAGACACAACAGAAAUGAACUGUUCACAACUAUUUAAUCAGAAUGAUUUAAAAGCACAUAGAACAAGACCGACCCAGGACAAGUCUAUCAGCUGCCCUGUCGCUAACUUUAUCUGCUCAACAGGGAAGACACCUGCCCUGGGCGCAAGUCCAUGUGCAAGGAAGUUGAGAUGUGACGGGCACCAUGCCUCCACACGGGUGUCAGCCUAUGAAGACUGUCCAAAGGGUAAGCUGACCGCCCAGCACAGUAGUUUUGCUGGUAGAAUAAUAUUCUGUUAGGGACACAAGGUAAGUCAGCUAUACUUGUCUGCAACCCAAACCCUCACCUGCUUGGGAAAACAACACUUUUCGAGUAUUUAACUCUGAUGACUUUGUAAGUUCAUCACCAUCUUGUCGAAAUUGGGAGAGAGAAUGAGUCUAUACAGAUGGUCCCUGACUUCCGAUGGUUCGACUUACAAUUUUUUGACUUUACGACGGUGGGUUCCAGCCCGGAAUUCAAUCUACUGUUGAACUGCACAACUCUGAGAUGCGGUCAACUUUGGGAUUCAUCUCACUUCAAACAUUUGCUGAAGGAUGAAUAUGUCUAAAUAGACUGUUCUGUUUUUUUUUACUUUUGAAAAAUACACACACACACUUAAAUAAAUCAUCUUGUGAAAUAACA